AUGUGGGAGCAGAGCCCGUACAGAGGAGAUCGCGUGCAAGAGGAGCAUUUGAGCUUUGGCACAAGACCACAGUUCCCCAGUGCAUUUGUACUUGGGAGGAAGGUCUUAAAAGAGAGUUACACAAUUAUGAUUGCUUCCUCGGAGCCAGGCGGGGACGAAACUGAUUUACGGGCUGCUUCCCCAGCUCGCACAUUCACCGUCCUGCAGCUACACGCGACCCUGCCCAGCACCACACUCGUUUCUGAGCAGACUUCACCCCGUCCAGGAGGCUCUGGAAUCUGCAUACCAGAGGGAUGAAAGAGAGGGAGUUGGGCUCACUCCACUGAAGAGUCAAGAAAUGGCCAUGCUAAUUGCUGUUGAAAAGAAGGAGCUGCGAUUCACUUUGAUGUGAGGUUAAUAGAUCUUAGUCCUGUUUAUCAUUCCUUUCCAUAGAUCAAAACUCAGGCCGUCGCCUCCUCUGGCAUUUGCACGUUUCAAGCCUUGUGCUUUUCAUAGAAUCAGAUAUCACUUCCCUCAGGCUACUCCAGGUAGGAACUAAAGAGAUAUGAGGGGAACUUGAUCUUCUUAUUGUUAAAUGUGUCUUGAGUGAUUGAAGAAAACCACUUCCUUGGUUCACAGGUUCUGAACCGCCAGUUGAAGGCUCGGGAUUACUGGGGAGAUGUUGGUCGGUCGUCUACCCCUUGAUUUCCUCAAGCUCUGCCACUCUUCUCUCCUUAGAAGCCUAAGUGCCCUGGCUUCCACCACCAGGCUCAGGUGAGAAAUCAUGAGGUUCUACCCACUGAAAAGCAAGGCUUUGAUCUGUGAUAGGCUUUCCUUGAUCUAACUGGGUGGCUUAUAAACACUGAUUAAGCAGCUACUCUGUGCCAGUGCUGCCUCUGGCACAGGGAAAGUGGAGAUGGAUCAGAUUCAGUCCCAACCCUCCCGGGAUCCACAUUCUGGGGGACAAACAGCUAGCCGAUUAAUUACAGUGCGGUGUUAUAAAUGCUUCAUCCCAGGAGCACUAAUCCUGACCUGGAGAUCAGAGAAACUGUGUCUUGAAGGAUGAGUAGAAGUUCUCAGAUCAAAGGAAUGGAGAAGGUACCUGUGAGGGACAGAGAGAGCAUAAGGUGAGGAGGGGUCUGAGGGAGCUGGGGAUCCUUGGGGGACGCAGGGUGGCUUCGUGUGGCAGAGGAUGUAGAGAGGCAGCUCAUUAGAAAGGGGAGCAGGAGAUGCGUCCUGGAGGUCUAACAAAUCAUGCCAAGGAGUUAGGUUCCAUUUUAUAAGAACAGAGACCCAUCAGAGCGUUUUGAGCAGAGACGUG
rnacentral:lncRNA from 12 species